AGCUGGGUUUAGACCGUCG
rnacentral:snRNA from 1 species